GUGGAGGGUCAAGAAAGCGGUCUCUCUCUAAAGUUGUGGUUACCUGCUGAUACUACCCUCCCAGAUAAAUGAUUUGUAGAGGAACAGGCCAGAAGAGUUUUCAAGAGAAUACCGAGGCCUACUAACCCUACGAACAUUA
rnacentral:scRNA from 1 species